rnacentral:rRNA from 1 species
UGCAGAAUCCCGUGAACCAUCGAGUCUUUGAACGCAAGUUGCGCCCGAAGCCAUUAGGUUGAGGGCACGCCUGCCUGGGCGUCACGC